rnacentral:rRNA from 1 species
CCUACGGGCGGCAGCAGUGAGGAAUAUUGGUCAAUGGACGAGAGUCUGAACCAGCCAAGUAGCGUGAAGGAUGACUGCCCUAUGGGUUGUAAACUUCUUUUAUAAAGGAAUAAAACGAGGCACGUGUGCCUUUUUGCAUGUACUUUAUGAAUAAGGAUCGGAUAACUCCGUGCCAGCAGCCGCGGUAAUACGGAGGAUCCGAGCGUUAUCCGGAUUUAUUGGGUUUAAAGGGAGCGUAGAUGGGUUGUUAAGUCAGUUGUGAAAGUUUGCGGCUCAACCGUAAAAGUGAAAUUGAUACUGGCAGUCUUGAGUACAGUUGAGGUAGGCGGAAUUCGUGGUGUAGCGGUGAAAUGCUUAGAUAUCACGAAGAACCCCGAUUGCGAAGGCAGCUUACUAAACUGUGACUGACAUUGAUGCUCGAAAGUGUGGGGAUCAAACAGGAUUAGAUACCCGGGUAGUC